CCUGUUUCAUCAAGAAAAGGUAAAGAGUUUAUGUAAAAUCAGAACUUGGUUAUAACAUGUUUUGAUUAUUGAAAUAAGAGUUGGGAAGUGGAAGAAGUAUUCGGACAUCUGAUUUUGUUUUGAAAGUAAGAAGACAGUAUAUGUUGAAUUGGAACUGACUGGUGCUGAAGUCUGUGCUGGAGGACUUGAUCACCAUGCAUAAAUAAAAAUACCUCUCCUAUAUAUUUACUUUUUAAGUAAAGAAGUAUACAUAUCUUCAUAGAAAUAUACGUAUCUUCAUAUCAAAGAUUAGAUUGUGUGAUUUGGGCAAGCAUGCCAUACAUUUAUUUGGGCAAGAAUUUACAUUUCUUAUUGCUUUUACAAGGGGUUACGAGCAUCAUUCCAGAAUGAAGAGAAGGAUAUUGCGCAUAAUUUAGACACAUCGUAUCACUCUAGCUGCACAAGGUAGGGGUAAGAAUGCGUACAUACUACUUAUACUGGAUAUAUUGUUGUUAGAAACACCCCAUCACAGUUCUUGCCCUAUAUUGUUCAAGGAGUAGCAGGAAGCUUGUACUACAAACAACAUCAAGGAUUCAUUCUCUUUCCACAAGAACUAUGAGGUCUCUGGUUCAACUCCCCGCAGAGACAAAAAAACACUAGGUGAUUUUUCCUAUCUCUUGAGCUUAAAUAAAGUGAGGGUUCAUAUAGCCAAUCCCAACUCGUUUUGUUGAUUUCUUCCCAGUAGAGUUAUUCGAUACCUGUGCUGCUGGGAGGUUGUAGGUAGAGAAUGGAAUUAGUCGAGGUGCAUGCAAGCUGGUCCAGAUGCCACCCACAAAAAAAGAAGCAGCAGGUAGAAAAAAAUUGACAUUAUGGUUGAGAAAUGAGCAGUAGAAAACCAGGCUGGUGGACUCUUCUUUAGAAACUCUUCUAUUGUCAUGGAUUUCAGUUCUGGCACUUGACUAGUGCUGUGGUGCAUAUAUAAGAAUUUUCUACGGAAAACUUGAGAUACUAAAGUUCAACACAGUUGGAUAACACAUGAAAGAACAUUUUACAGAACUUAAGGAAUCAG
rnacentral:lncRNA from 1 species